rnacentral:rRNA from 1 species
GCAGUCGACGCUUUGUCUUUAACUGAUCUGACGAGCUUGCUCUGAUUUGAUUUUAUCUGACAAAGAGUGGCGAACGGGUGAGUAACACGUGGGUAACCUACCUCUUAGCAGGGGAUAACAUUUGGAAACAAGUGCUAAUACCGUAUAAUACCAACAACCGCAUGGUUGUUGGUUGAAAGAUGGUUCUGCUAUCACUAAGAGAUGGACCCGCGGUGCAUUAGCUAGUUGGUAAGGUAACGGCUUACCAAGGCAAUGAUGCAUAGCCGAGUUGAGAGACUGAUCGGCCACAAUGGGACUGAGACACGGCCCAUACUCCUACGGGAGGCAGCAGUAGGGAAUCUUCCACAAUGGGCGCAAGCCUGAUGGAGCAACGCCGCGUGUGUGAUGAAGGGUUUCGGCUCGUAAAACACUGUUAUAAGAGAAGAACGGCACUGAGAGUAACUGUUCAGUGUGUGACGGUAUCUUACCAGAAAGGAACGGCUAAAUACGUGCCAGCAGCCGCGGUAAUACGUAUGUUCCAAGCGUUAUCCGGAUUUAUUGGGCGUAAAGCGAGCGCAGACGGUUAUUUAAGUCUGAAGUGAAAGCCCUCAGCUCAACUGAGGAAUGGCUUUGGAAACUGGAUGACUUGAGUGCAGUAGAGGAAAGUGGAACUCCAUGUGUAGCGGUGAAAUGCGUAGAUAUAUGGAAGAACACCAGUGGCGAAGGCGGCUUUCUGGACUGUAACUGACGUUGAGGCUCGAAAGUGUGGG